UGCAAAACUCCUCCUUGAAGCCAGGUGUUCAAGACCAGCCUGGGCAACAAAGCAAGACCUCUGUCACUACAAACAAAACAAAAGAAAUAGUACAUGCUCUAAUAAGGAUCCAGAUAUUAUAUAAAGGAAAAAGGAAAAGUGCUCCUUUUUUGCCCUCCCAUUUUUACUUCUAAGGUAACUAUUAUUAACAGUUUUCUGUGCAUCCUUCAAAAAUAUCCCUAUGCAUAUAUCUUCUAGCUGUUUGCUCUCUGGAUCUGCUGAAUAGUUGACAUUAUGCGACCACACUUCAUUAUCCUGGCGAUUCUCUAUACCUGACUUAAACUGGAAUCUCAGUCUUCCUCUUUGUUGUUUUACUCCUUGUUUCAGUGAAGUACCUCUUCCAGUAGGUUUCUGAAAAGGGGUGCUUUGGAAGUAAACUUCGUAAGACCUUACAUGUCAUAAAAUGUCUUUAUUCCAUCUUUACAUGUGAGAUUUUGGGUAGCCACAGAAUUCUAAGCUGAAAAUAUCUUCUUUCAGAAUCUAAAGGCAUUGUUCUAUGUCUGUUUCUAUUGUUGCCCUUCUGAUUCUUUGUCCUUGUAUGUGACCUGUUUUUUUUUGUCUCCCCUCUGGAACUUUUAGCAUCUUCUUGUGCACUGAAACAUCGCUAAUGAUGUGCCUUGGUGUGGGAGUUAUUUUUUAUCCAUCGUAUUGGGUACUUUACCGGAUGCUUUGAAUCUACACACUCAUUACCUUCAGUUUUGAGAAAUUUUAUCAAAAAUUUUUUGAUGAUUUUCUCUUCAUUUUUCAGUUCUCUCUUCUAGAGUAUUUGUAAUUCAGUUAACAGAUUUUUUGGCUGAUUUUCUACAUUUCUCUCUUAUUUUCUAGUACCUUUAAAAAAAAACAACUCUUUUUUUUUUUUUUUUGAGAUGGAGUCUUGCUCUGUCACCCAGGCUAGAGUGCAGUGGUGCAAUCUGGGCUCACUGCAACCUCCGUCCCCUGGGUUCAAGCGAUUCUCCUGCCUCAACCUCCUGAGUAGCUGAGACUACAGGCGCGUGCUGCCAUGCCUGGCUAAUUUUUUGUAUAUUUAGUAGAGAUGGGGUUUCACCGUGUUAGCCAGAAUGGUCUCGAUCUCUUGACCUCGUCAUCUGCCUGCCUAAGCCUCCCAAAGUGCUGGGAUUAUAGGCGUGAACCACCAUGCCCGAACUUUUUUUUUUUUUUUUUUUUUUUUGUAGAGUCAGGGUCUCCUUAUGUUGCCCAGGCUGGUCUCAAGUGAUCCUCCCACCUGGGGCUCCCAAAGUGCUGGGAUUACUGGCUUGAGCCAGCCUGGCUGCUAAACUCUACUUUUUGAGCAAUGGCCUCAAUUUUAUCUUCCAUCCUUUCUAUUAAGUUUUUCAUUUCUUCUAUCACACAUACAUAUAUAGGUACACACACAUAUAAAUAUAUAGACAUACAUAUAUAUACACAUAAAUGUAUGUAUGGGUAUUGUAUAUAUGUAUAUGUAUAUUUUAGAGACGGGAUCUUGUAUUCUUACCCAGGCUAGAGUGUGGUGAUGCACCAUAGUUCACUGCAGCCUCAAACUCCUGGGCUCAAGUGAUCUUUCUGCUUCAGUUUCCCGAGUAGCUGGGAUUAUAGGCGUGUGCUACCAUGCCCAGCUAACUUUAAAAUUUUUGUAGAGCCAGGGUCUCACUAUGUUGUUCAGGCUGGUCUCAAACUCCUGGCUUCAAGCAAUCUUCCCUCCUCAGCCUCCCAAAGUGCUGGGAUUACAGUUGCGAGCCACUGCGCCCAGGCUUCUACCAUAUUUUAAAUUUCCAAGGCUUCUUUAAAAAAUUUUAAACAGCAUACUGUUCUUUCUUUCAAGGAUACAAUCUCUUUUUCAACUCUCGGAGACAUUCAUUCACUCAUUCAUUUGGAGGGGCAGGUUUCCAAUGUCCUUGCAUAGUUUCUGGUUCCAAGUUGCUUUGUUCUGUUUGUACUGGCGGGACUUCGUGUUAUAGACCUUCUGAGAUGUGUGAUGAAGCUUGGCUGUUUGCUUAUAUGGAAGACUGGGACACUCAUUAUAAGUUAUUGAGAACCUUUGUGCACAUGCAGUAGGACUUGUCAACUAUGGCUUCAGUAUAGGGAGAUGAGAUUGGACUGAUUCAUUUAAGUUUUUUCUCAUGGGUUGGUCAGAUUUCCUAGAGGUGAGUCUUCCAAACUCCAGCCUGCAGCAUGUAAGACCAGCAUUCUACGAGCUGAGUUAGAGAAGAGCCUGGAGCUUUCAACAUUCAAUAUGCAAAGUUUUAUUUAUUCCCCUCUCCCUUGUUUUAGUUUAAAAUCUAUGCCCUCACUUGUGUCAGGAGUCCACCAGUCCAGAGACUACCUGUUUUACUCUCUCCAGAAAAUGUCUCCAGUCUUCUGUUAAUGGAGGGAAAGGGCUCCCCCUUUGGGAGCAGAUGGAGGGGAAUGGAGGGGAGAAUCUGAGAGUCUAAGUGUUUUUUCUAUAAAUUUUCAACCAGUCCUCUUGUUUUUAGACUUACCUCUUCCCCUAUUAAACCUACCUGAUGCCACCAAUUAUGAAGCUUUUUGAGGAUUCUGGGGUGCAAAUUGAGUUGCUGCCCCACUUCCUCCACUGCUGGCUCAGGAUUCGACUUUAAGUCUGAUCCACCAGUUCAUACUUGCCAGUCUGAUUUCCAGCUUCCCAUGAUCUCAUCACUAUUAUCUCUUUCUUCUCCUAUUCUUUGUCUUUGUGGUUUUAUGACUUAUGAAAAGAAAAACGCUUUAUUUUCAUUUAACUUUUGUGGUAGUUGUGAAAUAUGUGAAAUAUAUCCUAAGUGACUCUUUUGGAUAAGAUAUCCUGAUGGGUAGCCUUUGAGUAGAGAGAGGUGACGAGACAUUAGCUUUGGAGUUCCAAAGUCAAAUUACACAGAGGCAGAAGAAACCAUCUAGAUAAUAUUUUUUUUGAGAUGGGGUCUUGCUAUGUUGCCCGGGCUGGUCAUGAACUCCUGGGUUCAAGUGAUCCUCUUGCCUCAGCCUCCCAAAGAGCUGGAAUUACAGGCAUGAGCCAUUGCACCUGGGCUAGAUGAUUUUUUUUGAAGACUCAAGAGCUGUGGGAGAAAAAAGGCUGGAUGGACACUGUCCAUCCUGAAACAUAUGACUGGUUGAGGUGUAAGAAUAGAAUGUCUUUAGAAGAGUUUGCAAAUUUUACAGUUCAUCAGUCAGAGUACUGCAAAGCAACUGCCUGGUCACUCAAGAUAGCAGGGAGAAAGGAAGGCAGCUUAAAUAUGGCAUCAAAAAGAAUAAAGUAAAGAGGACAGGGCUCAGAGUUAUGCAGGGCUACUGCAUCUGUUGUUUGGCAGAAAGAAUUUCUUUGCUCACUCUAAGCUGGAUUUUGCUGUCUCCCUCCCAUUUCUCUUUAUAUUUGUUUCUCACAUAGAUCUCAAGUACAGAAAAGAGAGCUGGGCAACAACAAGCUAGGCCUAAAUUCACGAGGAGGUGAAAACAACAAAGAAUGCAGAGACCUCAAUAACCCUGUAUAAUCUAAUCUACAAAUCCAAACAACCACCAACAGGCUACUGAUGUACGACAGAAAUGGUGUCAAAAGUUUUUAUUUGGGGCGAGUUCUUAUAAGAACAAUGGCACUUUGUCAUUUUCAUCUACCCCCAGAACAGAGAGGAAAUGAGUCUGAAUGAGCAUAUGAGAGAUUGAGUCAGAUAUAACAGGACAAUGAAGAUGAAGAACCUUGUCAACGGAUAUUUCAAGGGAGCUAUAACAGAUUAUAGAGGUAAAUUAAAGAACUUUCUCCAUGGGAUACUUAUUUUCCCACUUACUAUUCUCCUCAUAUCAUCUAGUCUACCCUCCAAAAUUUACACGUCUCAUUCCCUAUUUCCACUAAAAAGCAUCACCUUUUCCCCUCAUUGCUCUAUCAAAAACUUAGGUAUGUCUUCAACUCCUUUUUCCUCCCCCUCCUCAUCAAGACUGUAACACAUCAUUGAUUGUAUUACCACUUUCCUUUCAAAUCUGUCUCUUCCUUUAACUUUCCCCUGCCUUUGCUCUGGUUCAGAGCCUAAUGUCCUCUCACUUGAGCCACUGUGAAAGACUUCUUAUCAGUUCUACUCCUCCCUCCCUCUAACAUGCACUGAAUAUAAUCAGAAGCCUAAUCACCCAAAAGUGUGGCACUUAGCAAAACCUUCAUUAGCUCUCUGUUACUGACAUGAUAAAAUAAAAAUUCUGCAGCCUGGCUGGGCAUGAUGGUUUACACCAGUAAUCGUAGCACUUUGGGAGGCUGAGGAGGGAGGAUUGCUUAAGGCCAGGAGUUUGAGACCAGCCUGGGCAACAUAGUGAGACCCUGUCUCUGUGUAUUUUUUAAAAAACAUUCUACAGCCCAUUUAUCAAGAUUAUUCAUGAGCCAUCAUUAAUGUAGUAUAGUGAUUAAGAGCACAGAUGUUGGAGCCAGACUACCUGAGUUUAAUCCCUAUAAACUCUGCCUAGGGUUAAAUUCAACUUCAAUUGAGCAAACAGUCAUCAAGCUCCUAGUAUUUUUUUUUUUUUUUUUGAGAUGGAAUCUUGCUCUGUCGCCCAGGCUGGAGUACAGUGGCAUGAUCUCGGCUCACUGCAAGCUCCGCCUCCCAGGUUCAUGCCAUUCUCCUGCCUCAGCCUCCCAAGUAGCUAGGACUACAAGCACCCGCCACCACGCCCGGCCAAUUUUUUGUAUUUUUAGUAGAGACGGGGUUUCACCGUGUUAGCCAGGAUGGUCUCGAUCUCCUGACCUCGUGAUCCACCCGCCUUGGCCUCCCAAAGUGCUGGGAUUAUAGGCAUGAGCCACUGUGCCCGGCCCAAGCUCCUAGUAUUUAUAAUGCAUGGUAUCAGUUGCUAUGGGCAUUCAAAAUAAGUGGCUAUCCAGAAUGAGCGUAUAACCCAAGGAUGGAGAAAGGUGUAUAAAUGAAAUAAAUCCAUGACAGAGGUAUAGACAACAUACAUAAAGCAAUACAGAGGAAGGAAUGAUUUCAUCUCCAAUAAAAUCCAGAAAUAUGACUUUACCAUGUUACAAUACUGAUAAACAUAAUGCUUUAUCCACUUUUCUCCACUCCCAUCCCACUCCUACUUCCUAUGUUCCCCAGGAUUCCUAUUAGGUGACCAGCUGUCUUGCCUAAUUUCCUUUUAGAAAUACAGACCUGCAUGAGGAGCCGGUCCUCACACCACUAUGCAGUGAUCUGUGUGCUGCUGAAGUCUCUGGAGUCCUGGCAUUAUCCCAGGGAUCUGACAUCAGUGGACAUAAGCCCUAUCUGUUCAUAUUUCACAUAGGCAUUUUCCAUUUCCAGAUCAAAUGCCAAGUCUUCCAUGAGGCUUUCCAUGAUCCUCCUUGCCAGAAAAAUCCCAUUCUCUUUUAUGUUUCUACAGACAUAUCUAUACUUCUGUUAGAGUGGUCUGCCUUGAAAUAGUUAUGUCCACACAUCUUUUCACUAGACUAUAUUUCCCUGAAGGUUAGGAUUAAAUCUUAUGCUUCUUCGUACCCCUCAUACAAUAUCUUGUAUACAGUGGGCACUCACUCAUUGCUUAUAUGAAAACAAGAAUGCAUAACUUCAGGAAAAAGGUUAAGAUUUUGGAGCUGCUAUUUAUAUAUUCUCCAAGAAUAACUAGUAAUUUGUUUAUAAAUGUAAUCCUUGCUUUGGGGUUGGGGGAAUUUAUUAACAUUCUCUUUUUAGAACUUUCAGUACUCUGCUGAAAUUCCCUAUCUAUACAAAAAUGUAAUUCACCUUUUCUACUGGAUCCUUAAACAUAUUUAUAAAAAGGAUUUUACAAUCCUUGUCUGUUAGUUUCAACAUAUGGCUCAUCUGUGGAUCUGCUUCUAUUGACUAUUUUUUCCCUCAGUCUUAUUUUUUCUGCUUCUUCCUGAGUCUUGUAACUUUUUAUUUUAUGCCAGAUGUUGUGUGUAAAAGUGUGGCAAUAGGUAUAUCCAGAAAAGGACAUGUCCCUUCCGCUGUUAGGCUGCUAGGAUUGAGAGCUGAGUCAGUCUAGCCUGUCAUAGAGCCAGGUUUGGGCUCUGUUAUAGGUCAGUUCACCAGUUUUUUUUUUUUUUUUUUUUUUCUAGACGAAGUCUUGCUCUUGUUCCCCAGGCUGGAGUGCAAUGGUGUGGUCUCGGCUCACUGCAACCUCCGCCUCCCGGGUUCAAGCAAUUCUCCUGCCUCAGCUAGGAUUACAGGUGCCUGCCACCAUGCCCGGCCAAUUUUUGUAUUUUAAGUAGAGAUGGAGUUUCGCCAUGUUGGCCAGGCUGGUCUUGAACUCCUGACCUCAGGUGACCUGCCUGCUUCAGCCUCCCAAAUCACCAGAUGUUUUUUUUUUUUUUUUUGAGACGGAGUCUCGCUCUGUCGCCCAGGCUGGAGUGCAGUGGCGGGAUCUCGGCUCACUGCAAGCUCUGCCUCCCGGGUCACCAGAUGUUUUGAGGGCAGGAUCAGGACUGUCCUUUCAGUAGCACUUAAGAUCUGAUCAUAGUGAGUCCCCAGAGAUCUCUCUAUGCCAUCCAGCCCAGCUGCCAGCUUUGGGCUGCUGUGGAGUUCUCUGCACUCUUGGUGAGCCACUUCUGUGCAUUCAAUGAAGGAUUUUUGUGCUUUGGAGGGGGUCUUUCUCUACCCUCCUGCCCUGUUCUCAGGUUCCACUGUACUGUACUGUACUGCUGCUGUAUAAUCAGUGAAGGUCCUGUGUACAUUGGGUGGGGGCAGGGAUCUUUCUCAGAUUUCUGUCCUGCCCUUAGCCAUCAGCUUGCUGCCACUGUGUACUCAGUGAAGCCCUCAUGAGAACGAUUUAGGGGUAGGUGGGUACUUAUUUGCUCUAUAAUUAGGGCUCCUUAUGGCCAGCCUACAUGUGGCCUUCAAAAGUUUGUAGGAAAUUCAGCUAUUUUCUCCUUAUCCUCAUCUAUGGUGGGUUUGCUCCUCUUAGCCAUACCCUAGGAGGAAAACAGCCAUGUAUUCCAUCUCUCCUAGGAAUGGCUCUUCUCUUUCUGGAAUUUAGUUCAAUUAGAGUACUUUGCAUCCUUAGAUAUCUGUAUUUUUAAAAAGUUAUGUUUGUUGCUUAUCCAGCUUAGCCUUGUUGUUAAGAUGAGAGUGAUAGUGUAGGACACUAUACGAUUCCCUUCAAUAAAUUAGCCCCUUGAGUGCUCUUAGAAUAAAUAAAGCCCUUCAUCUAGGGCUGCUAAGAAUGGCAACUGAUUCCUCCUCUUGUUUUCUUGCCCACUUCCUAGCACUGAUACCAUAGUCUAAGGAACACUCUGAUGCAUCCAUCUCCUCUGUAGGAUGAAAAGAGGGACUGUGGAGAGGCCAGCUCAACUGAACACUGCUCUGUUUGUGUCUGUGCAGACACGUGGCAAUGCAUGGGGCAGGAAACACUCCUCCCCUCUGGGAAAAGCACCAACACUAACGUAGUUCUUGGCUAGGAUUGGCUACCCCUCCCAGACUUCUCUCACACCGUCUGCUCCCCACAUUUUAGGCCCAGCUAUUCCAUGGAACUUGAAUAGCCAAGGGAGCCUGCAGGCAGCCAGAGGGCCAAGGGUGUGGGCUAACUAACUGGAAGAGUGGACCAGCUUGUGACUACAUAGGAAAAAAUCCUUAUUGCUUCUGUAGCACAGCAUGGUUCUUAAAAGUCAGACUUGAACACUGAAUCUGUUCUUCUGUCCAGAAUAUAUAUGCCUUGCGAAUCAGUAACUAUUUCUCUAUUUACUACUUAAUGCAUAAGAGCUGUAUACAUGGAACUCUACUUUCUCUUCUGAGAGUGGAGAAAUAUCUGCGGUACAAUAGGCUGGUUUUAACAGCUGAGAGUUUUCUUUUUUUUCUUUUUCUUCUCUUAUAAUUAUUUUUACUUCCAGUAGAGUUUAUGGAAUUGGAAGCCUAGGGGAUACCUAGGACUUCUUGCUUCCUCAUAUAGGAAAGAGAAUAACUAACUUUAUCAUCUAAACUGGAAACAGGUUCCAAGACAGCAGGAAGCUAUUUGGCCACAAAAUGUACCCUACUUCAUGGAAACAAAUCCCCAAAUCAAUCAUGAAAAAAAGCCAGACUCAGAGUUGGAGGGCUUUUCAGUCCCCAUCACUAUACCAACUAGGUAUGCACUGUAUUCUAUCAAAUAUACAAACAUCAAAUGGGGCAGAGCGGUAAAAGAGCAUCAAUAAUCACAACUCUUGAUAUUGUCUCACUUGCUAGAGUUGAUGGAUGGUGACCUAGGUUAGGCAGUGAAAUAGACAACAGUGACAAAGUGUGAAUUUGACCCAGGGACUGAGAGUAAUCUGAAAACCAAGAUAAGUAGGAGGCUAGCAAAUGUGAUGAGCCCAGUUCUAGGUUUGCCAAGGGCUAGAAUGUCUAUGGAUCAAAAUAAAAAGAACAUUUUUCAUAGUGCAAGUGUUUUAGAUAAGGCUGUCAUUAGAUGGUUCUGCAGCCAGCGAUAUCUCAUGACAUUUGCCCCUGAUACUCAAAUUAUUCUUGAUAAUUUUAAGGAGACAGGGCAAAGAGCACAUAAAGCUGGAAGUGGAAUCAGUCCAAGUUAGAAUUAAAUACAUACAGACUCAAAACUAAUCUGUCCUCUUGAAGAGGCUAACCUUAUUGGCUAGAAAUGGACUGAGCUGAUCUCAAAGAAUACACUACUAUAGACCAGAAUGCAUUCCUAAUAUUUGCUCUAGUCUUGAAAUUUUCCAUAGCUUUCUUGGAACUACACCAGAUUAAAGCUAAGAUAUAGCUUUCCUUGCUUGCUACUUUAAGAAUACUCUUGCUAUCUAUGAUAAAAUGUAUUAUGUUAAACCACGUGAAAUUGCCAAUCUUAUAGGUAAAAAAUUGGUCAAACCUGGGCACUUUCAUAUGAUUCAACAUCAAAUAUAUUUAUUUUUGUGUUUGGUCUACACUUUAGCACUUGUUUGCUACAAAACUGUGGUUGUGGAUUCUAAACUCUUUUUUUUUUUUUUUUUUUAAUUGAGACAAGAUCUCACCUUGUCACCCAGGCUGGAGUACAGUGGUGUGAUCUCAGCUUACUGCAGCCUUGACCUCCUGGGUUGAAGUGAUCCUCCUGCUUCAGCUCCCCAAGUAGCUGGGACUACAUGUGCGCACCACUGCGCCUGGCUAAUUUUUUAAUUUUUUGUAGACACAGGGUUUCACCAUGUUGCCCAGGCUGGUUCCAAACUACUGAGCUCAAGCGAUCUGCCUGCCUUGGACUCCCAAAAUGCUAGGAUUACAGGCAUGAGCCACCAUGCCUGUACUUACUCUUUUUUUUUUUUUUUUCUCUGAGACGGAGUUUCACUCUUGUUGCCCAGGCUGCAGUGCAAUGGCGCAAUCUUGGCUCACCACAACCUCUGCCUCCCAGGUUCAAGUGAUUCUCCUGCCUCAGCCUCCCAAGUAGCUGGGAUUACAGGCAUGUAAUUACCACCACACCUGACUAAUUUUUGUAUUUUUAGUAGAGAUGGGGUUUCACCAUGUUGUCCAGGCUGGUCUCGAACUCCUGACCUCAGGUGAUCCGCCUCCCUCAGCCUCCCAAAGUGUUAGGAUUACAGGCAUAAGCCACCAUGCCCAGCUGACUUAAACUCUUAAUAGGGAGAGACCAAGUUACAAAAAUCCAAGUCAAAUGAAAGAAAUGACAACCUGUCCCAGUCUAAGACUAGUUUGGUACAUCUGAACAAGGGAAUAUGUUUUGGACUUUCCUCAAUCCAAAGUUCCAAAGAUAUCCCAUUCUUCAAUGGUCUUUUAUGCUUUCUUCAGACCCAUUCCUGGAGGUGAGCCACUCAGUUCAUAAUCCAUACUUCCCCAAAGGUCACUCAGACAGUCAUGGAGAUGUGAUCCCUAAUGAGAAAAUUAGCAAGUGAUGUUCCAUCUCUGGUCCCUGCAGCAAGUGGACUCCUUUGUUAAGACGUUGGUGACCUACACCUGUGUUAAUAUGGUAGCCACUAGCCAUAUGUAGCUAAUGAGUACUCGAAAUGUGGCUAGUCCCAAUUGAGAUGUGGAGUAAGCUUUCAAAGACUUAGUAGAAAAGGAAAAUAUAUCUUAAUUAUCUUGAUAAUUUCUAUAUUAAUUACAUAUUAAAAUAAUAUUUUAAAUACAUUGGGUUAAAUAAGACAUAUUACAAUUAAUUUUACCUGUUUUACUUUUUAUUUUUAUUUUUAUUUUUUUUGAGGCGGAGUCUCGCCCUGUCACCCAGGCUGGAGUGCAAUGGCGCAAUCUCGGCUCACUGCAACCUCCACCUCCUGGGUUCAAACAAUUCUCCUGCCUCAGCCUCCCAAGUAGCUGGGAUUACAGGUGCCCACCACCAUGCCCAGCUAAUUUUUGGAUUUUUAGUAGAGACAGGGUUUCACCACAUUGGCCAGGCUGGUCUCAAACUCCUGACCUUGUGAUCUGCUCAUUCAGCCUCCCAAAGUGCUGGGAUUACAGGCGUGAGCCACCAUGCCUGGCCUUUGUUUCACUUUUUUAAAUGUUUCUACUAUAACAUUUAAAAAUACAUAUGUGGGCCAGGCGCGGUGGCUCACACCUGUAAUCCCAGCACUUUGGGAGGGCGAGGCAGGUGGAUCACAAGGUCAGGAGAUGAGACCAUCCUGGCCAACAUCGUGAAACCCUGUCUCUACUAAAAAUACAAAAAUUAGCUGGGUGUGGUGGUGCGUGCCUGUAAUCCCAGCUACUCGGGAGGCUGAGGCAGGAGAAUUGCUUGAACCAGGAGACGGAGGUUGCAGUGAGCUGAGAUCGCGCCACUGCACUGCAGCCUGGCGACAUAGCAAGACUCCAUCUCAAACACAAAAAACCAAAAAAACAAAAAAAGUAUGUGGCUUGCAUUAGAUUUCUGUUGGAAAGCGCUGUCCUAAACAGGAAACUUUUGGUCAAUGAAAUGUCCGCUUUAAAGAGCUGGAGUUCUUUAGCUGCUACAGUAGUUACAUUUGGUCCAUGACCUGAGAAAGCUACGGUUUGCAGUUAAACUUCAGCUGAUCCCUUUGAUGGCAACAAAUGUGGUAACAUUUUUAGGUGCAAACAUUGAAAUUAUGAGCCAUAGUCCUCGGAGACCAUUCAAGAGGUUAAAGAGGAUAAGUGAUUUUUAAAAAAAAGAUAAUAGAAGAGUCAGAGUGAAAUUGGGCAGUUUUGUGAUGCUCAGUUUUGAAAAUGAAUCAAGACCAUCUAGAGAAACCAACAUUCUGUUCAAGUACUGCCAAAGUUCUUAAAGUCAGUAACCUCUCCUACUCCUCAUCCCCAUGUGGCCCUAGAGAACUCCAAGAGCGAGGGGGAGUACAGUGUCUGCUUCAUUACAUGUCUGUGGUUUGGCAGAGAUCACAGCAAACUAGCUUGACCUGGCCAACAAAGCCAGGCAAUGGGAGGAAAGGAUGAAUCGCAGAGUGAGAGAUUUAGAGGAAGAGAGGGUGGGGCAGAGAAGAAGCCAAUGUAAAUUUUUUUGAGUUAAGGCUUUGCCAAGUCUUAAUCAAGGGUAAAAAUCACCAAGAAGAAAGGACUUUAAAGAACAAGGUAAUCAGAGUCUUAUAUGAAAUUGGAGGAUAUGUGCAAUCAGGAAAAUUUAUUUGGCCCCUUGAUAUAUUGGCAGUAAGCUCUUACAAUUCCAGUCCUAUAAGAAAACAAAUGGUUUCAAUAACUUUUAAAAGACAUUUCCUAAACUCUAGUUUCAAUCACAGAACUAUCUGAUUAAUUUGUUCAAUUCUCAAAUGCUGAAGCUAAUUUAAUGAAUGGACCAUAGCUAGGGAAGCCCAAAUUCAGAUUUAAAUCCUACAGACUGGUUACAUGGCGUUAUUAAAAAAUCAGAAAAAAUAGUCAUCACAAUUUUGGAGGCUACCAUUUUAGAGUAUCUGUUGCAACACCUAGGUAAUGAAUUCUUACUCAAACCCAACUGGGAAGAUUAUGAAGAUUACUACCACGAAUUUUGUAAAUAUUUCCUGGGCCGGGUGUGGUGGCUUAUGCCUGUAAUCCUAGCACUUUGGGAGGCUAAAGUGGGCGGAUCGCCUGAGCUUAGGAGUUCAAGACCACCCUGGGCAACAUGGUGAAACCCCGUCUCUACUAAAAUACAAAAAAUUAGCUAGGUGUGGUGGCACGCGCCUGUCGUCCCAGCUACUCAGGAGGCUGAGGCACAAGAAUUGCUUGAGAUUGGGAGGCAGAGGUUGCAGUAAGCUGAGAUGGCACCACUACAUUCCAGCCUGGGUGAAAGAGCAAGAGUCUGUCUCAAAAAAAAGAAAAAAAAAAAAAAAAAAAAAAGAAUAUUUCCUGAAGAUCAAACCCAUCCAAGAAAAUUAUACUCCAAUGCUCUACUGUACCUUGAUCAUUCUGUUCGAUGCUGAAAUAAUAGAUUUCCACCAUUGCCUUUUUCUUUUAAGUCACUCAGUUAUAGUGACUGACAGAGUUCUGUAUGGCACUUAGAAAGGAGUUAAAGCAAAUAAACACAGGGACAUGGCACCUCCAAGAAUAUAAAAGGCCACCCUAAUGUGCCCAUAGAGAAAGGACUUCUGUUAUUUCUGAUGAUUCUUAAUAUAAUGGAAAAGUGUGAAAACUUGUCUGCUUGGUUCUAAAUCUAGUUCACCUCAAGGCUUCCUUGCUGAAGUUCUAGCCACCUUCAGCAUACCCACUUUAGCUCACUCUCCUUUCUGAUAAAGGUUCAAGUGUUUUUAAUGGUGGCAAUAGGGCCAUAGGUCCAGACCUAGGCAGAACCCCACUCAGUCAGAAUAAAGCCAUGCAUUUCUGUGCUUGUUCUUCACAGACGCCAUCUUGCCAGUGGCAAAAGAAAAGUAACUGGUCUGGAGAACCGAAUGCCCUUGCAGUUAUACAUAAAAUUCUAUGCAUGUGCAAUCUUCUGGUAUCUGAUCAUACUUUCAGAUUCUCAAAUGUGUCUAUGACUCAGAAAAUUUUCUUUAAAUUAUCAUCUUGCCUCCUAACACCCUGCUUUAGGCAUUGCUUUCUUGAUUCUGGCAUUGAAUUUUUGCCCUAAGGUUAAGAGAGUUUCUUAAAUUUAGACCAUUGUUAUGGAAUAAAUUAUGUUCCCCCCAAGUGUAUGUGUUACAGCUGUAACUCCCAGUGACUGUAUUUGGAGAUGGGGCGUUCAGGGAGGUAAUUAAGAUUAAAUGAUCUUAUAAGAGUGGAGCUCUCAUCUGAUAGGACUCGUGUCCUUAUAAGAAAAAGGAGACACCAGAGAGCUCUCUUUCUGUGUGUGCACAGUUAAGGCCAUGUGAGGACACAGUGAGAAGGUGGCUGUCUACAGCCAGGAAGAGAGGCCUCAUCAGAAACCAACCCAGAUGGCACCUUGAUUUUGCACUGCUGGGCUUCGGAACUGUGAGAAAAUAAACUUCUAUUGUUUAAGCCACCUGCCCUGUGGUAUUUUGUUAUGUCAGCUUGAGCAGACUACCACAACCAUUAAGUUACGAAAAUAAGCUUAUUUUAUCUACAUGUCAAUAUCCCCCAUUGAACUACAUUGGAUAUUGACCACCUCUAUGAUUCAGGCUAGUUUUCAAUUCAGAUUUACUGCCAUCAGAUUUUUUUAAAUCAUGAUAUCAUAGGUUAUUAUAGGAAAAUUAAAUACCCGAAUCCAUCUGCUAGGCACAGUAGAAGCUAUGGAUUGAGAAAAUCAAGGAGUCAGGCAAAGUGGAAGGAAUUAUCAUUGCUGCUUGGACUUGGCAGCGAAAUAAUCCCGGAGAAAUUCCAUCUUUCUGUGAUGAAAUCAGGCUCUAUAUGUGCUCCUGUAAUGACAUGAUACACAAGUAUUCAGCCCUGCAAACAGCUUGGAUAGCACUUUGUGGAACAAAAUGGAUGCAAUUGGAUUAGAGGUAUCAAUAUAUUUUAUUGGGAUCUUAAUGUGGGAAAGGGUAAUUGCAGGGUAGUAGAGGAGAGACAGAGAAGUGAGAAUAUAGAAGGAAAGACAUGAGAGACUGUUUCCAAGCCGUCGGUUAAAGCUUUGCCAUGUCAGCUGGCAGGGCCAGAGCAAGAAGAAAGAGCAGAAAGUUGAGCUGUUUAACGGGAGUCUCCUUAAUUAGGACCAACUGUGGGUGAGGAAUGCUGACUCGGCUGGCCACAAUUUGUUUGAGUUUUCUCUAGUUUCAGAGAUUUCCCUUUUUGUCUGCCCCAAGUCUUUCCCCUCCUGUACUUCUUUCACAGGAGUGGGAAUGAAAAAACAAGGCACCUUCCUCUCUUUUUCAGAUGUUUCCAAGUCAGGAAAUUGAAAUCCUUCAAAGAGUGAAAGAUAACUGAGAAUCUCAAGAAAAGCAAAAAAUUCUCAGGGAUACCAUCAAAUUCACCUUCAAAAGAUAAAAGGCAGUCCUCUAGAGCAAGCUCUGGAGUACUGAGUAUGUACUUCUAUCUCUACUAGUCGCUAUUACUACAGUUGAGUUAGUGUACUUGUCUUAGCCUCAAUUUCCCCAAGUAUAAACAGGUAAUUGAACACCCACUAAUCAAAAUCUUUAGAAAGUUUGAACAUCAAGGAAAAUGAUUUUGAUUCUUAACUUGGUCAAGAAAACAUCUUGAGGAAAACUAAAAAGUCACAAAAUUAAGGUGUCAAUUGAUGUGAGUGACCUUAUUUUGAGUUUCCAUAUUUUUAUUGGAGAGGGCCUGAAGGAGGCUCUAAGAAUAGUCAGUAGGAUUCUGUUCAGAACCAACAUUUUUUUUUUCUCUUUCUAAAACCCACAUAGAUGUCCCAUUUUAAGGAUUUUUGGAAAGGGAUGAAAAUGAUAUUUGAUUUUAAAUUUCAUGAGAUAAUUCCUACUUCCUCACCACUGUCUCACCCAUAUUCUUCCUGCAGUGUUUCCUUAGGAGUCCACUGCACAAUUCCAAAAUCCCUAGCUAAUUGAAAAGAAAUGUAGAAUAGUGUCUGCAUUUCUGCACCUUCUCUAAACCAAUAAGGAAGUAAGAGAUAAUUGACAAUACUCCGAAAAGUAGGAAAAGUUUGGCUUAAGGGUCCAGAGUAGGGGUUGGCCAGAUAGUAAAUAUUUAUGAGGCUUUGCAGGCCAUAAAGUCUCUGUCACAACUACUCAAUUCUGCCAUUGUAGCACAAAAGCAGCCAUAGAUAGUAUGUAAACAAAUGAAUCCGGCUAUGUUCCAAUAGAACUUUAUUUAUGUCCACUGAAAUUUGAAUUUCACAUAAUUUUCAUGUGUCACAAAAUAUUGUUCUUCUUUUGUUCCUUCCAAUCAUUUAAAAAUGUGAAAUCCACUCUCAGCUUGCAGGCCAUACAAAAACAGGCAGUGGACUGGAUUUGGCCAAGCAGGCCAAAGGUCACCAGCCCUGGGGCUAGACCAAAAAAAGAACCCCUAAAAAUGAAAAGAAAUAACAAUUCCGUAACUGACAAGUCCUGGGCAAAAAAGCAACUCUGGGCUAAGAAUGACCUCUUGGAUUUCCACUUUUAUUACUUCUGAUCUAACCUGCUCAAUUUUCAAGUCAAAACAAGAUUUUUCUACUACUGAUUCAGUUUUUUGGGUUUUUUGUUUGUUUGUUUUCUUUGAGACAGGGUCUCACUCUGUCACCUAACUGGAAUGCAGUGGUGCAAACACAGCUCAUUGCAGCCUCAAGCUCCAGAGCUCAAGGGAUCCUCGCACCUCAGCUUCCUGAGUAGGUGGGACUACAUGCGGGUGCCACCAUGCCCAGAUAAUUUUUUUUUUUUAAUUUUUUUGUAGAGACAAGUUCUCACUAUGUCGCCUAGGCUGGUCUUGAACUCCUGUCCUCAAGUUAUCCUCCCGCCUUGGCUUACCAAAGUGCUAGGAUUACAGGCAUGAAUCACUGAGCAUGGCCUCUGAUUUAGUUUUGACUCAGAAAAAAAGGAAGAGGUUGGAAAAGAAUAGAGAAGAAAAAGAAAAAAAGAAGCAUUCGUACUGCUUGUACGUCAUUGCCAAUCCUCCAUUCUGGAAGUAGGCGAUGCCUUAAAGUGGGAUGGAAUGACUUAUGUAGGGUUGACAGAAGCAAAAACCAUUUUUGGUCAGAAGCACAAAUUCUUCUACACAGGUUGGAAGAAGUGAUAUAGAACGUAUAUGGCCUGUAUAUGUUCCUGAUGCAUAAAGCAACAAAUAAAAGUCUACUUUAUUAAACGAAGACGUUGCCAUUCAUCUUCAGAUCUCAGAUCACCCUGUGAGCGCAAAGUGAGUACUGAAAGAGGAAAAAGGGAUAGGAAUCAGGCCCCAAAUUCAUACUACUAGGCUGAGAAAUCUGUGCAACUCUGAGCAGUUUCUGGCAGCUCUAAAAGACCCAGGCCAGACUGCUGGUGUGAAACGCUGAUCUGGCUAUAAACACCUCCAGCCACUGAGCUACUCUCUCUUCGCGGAAUGAAGCUUCCCACCACAAACCAAAUGAAUUGCCAGGCGUUCCCUCUGAACACAUUAUUCCCCGCUUUUUGACUUCUUUGUAUCAUAUUCAGUUUUCUCACUCCAGAAUCCCUGGCCUUCCAUUAUCACCUUCUUUUUUUCUUUAUUAAAUAAGAAGUCCACUUUCCAACGUCUUCUUUAGUGUUUCUACAAAAGCUGAGGAGGUCAUCUUUUUUCUGUUCACGGUCUCCUUAUUCAGUCAACAAAAUCUUUAAAUCCUGAGUCAAGAUAGAGGGCAAAAGCAAGCUUUUCUGCUGUAACUACCCUAAUGCUGUCCACAUUCAAUCUACUAAAAACAAACAAAAGGGAACAUCAGAAAGGAAAGCUGCCAGCAAAACAGAAACAAACACAAAUUCCAAAUAUUAAAACCUAAAGAGAAGAAUAUUGGAUGCUAAUUCCUCAAGUCUGUCUGCUUGCACACUACUAUACUGAACUACAUGGUACCAUGUUAGUUAGAGAGAAGUGCCUCUCUAGGUCCAGAGGCUUGAGCAUGUGGGAGGAUCUAUUCAGGAUACGGGCAAGUUAUGUGACACAAUGACCCUUUGUAAUGCACAUAAAGAGACUCCCAUCCAAAUCCACAGAUUCACCAUAACACUCUGUUAUUGAAGUAUUUGUUGCAAGUUAAGCUACUUGAUUUAUUUUCCUUUUCAAAAAUAAUACUGAGAAACCAACUCACCACAGAAUGCAAACAUUUCUCUCAGGAAUUCACACCCUAUUGAGGUCCCCAGGGAGAAAGUCAGUGAACAACUCUGGAUGAAGAAUGUUACUCUAAUACAAAUCUAAGCAGGGUCACCACACAAAAAGAACUCUUGUCCCUACACUAAAUGCAGAGGAAAAGAAAUACUUCAGGCUGGUUAUGGAGAGUCAUCAAUAAGGUAAAAGAUGAGGCUGUUUUCCAGGUUAUAUAAACUUUUAAAACAUAAUAUUCUUUUUUAAAAAAGUUUAAUCUAUUUAUUUAUUUUGAGAACGGGUUAUGAGACUGGUUAAUUUUUGUAUUUUUGGUAGAGACGGGGUUUCACCGUGUUGCCAAGGCUAGUCUCGAACCCCUUGGCCUUAAGCGAUCCACCCGCCUGGGCCUCCCAAAGUGCUGGGAUUACAGGCGUGAACCACCAUGCCCAGCCACCAGGUUAUAUAAACUUUUGAUAUAGCUUCAGCAAUCCCUAGUAGGAUUAUUUUGAAGUUUUGAUCUCAGUGGCUUGGCUAGAUUUCCUAAUUCCAGUAACUUUUGUAACUCUUUUUGAUGCCCCAUCCUCGUUUAAGUUCAAAACUAAAAAUAGCAAUGAUAUAGGUGGAAGCAGCCACAGGGGCAGGAGUACCAGAUGAUAAGUUUUCUCUUUUUACUUGUCCACAAAGAACAAUAACCUCAGGACUUGAAGGAGCUUCAAUGUAUUGCAAGGGAAACCUACCAAUUUGUUACUGGGGGAGUUUAUUCAAUCCCUCAACUAGCACCCUGAUAUCAUUAUUUCAAAAGAAGUGGUCACGAGAAGGUAGGAGAAUUUAAGGACACACUUCAUUACUGAACAGUUUUUAAUCUGUGUGAAUUCAACUGUCAAGAUUUCCAUUGUAGCAAAGCAAUCCAUGUAGAAGUCUGAGACUGCUCUGUGGAAAGAUGCUGUUCACUUAAUCAUCAGGCAGGCUGGGAUCCAACUCAACAUUAGCUAUUACUUAUACCCAUCCAGUCAAGCAUAACCAGCAUAACCUCUGCAUUGCUGGACAAGCAUGCAGCAGUGUCCUGCAUGAAAUCAAAGGAAAAUCUGCAGUUUUACUGAAAAGAUUCAUGGCUCUCUGGAAAACCACCUUAAAUAAUUUAGGAACCUGAGAAGGCAACCAAACGAUAUUAAUGAACACUCACGACCUCUGCAUCAUACUUUUCGACAUUAGAUAUGCUGAAGCCUGGGUGAUGGCCCUCCUUCAGUCUGUGAAGUUGAUGCAAUAUCUAGCUCACUUGUUUGCUUGUUAUCUGCCUCUAAGCUUGCAUCAAACCAAAGCAGUUUCUCCACUUCUUCACUAACUAAUGCACUGUGGAAACCCAGUGUUUCUUAAAUACUUGCUAUUAAAAGGCAUCUUUAAUGUGCUGCCUUUUAUAAUGACACAAAAGGGCAUGCAUUUUACAUUAUACUUCUAGUGGAGCUGCCAGAUGUAGGCUAAUCAAUGCAAAUAAUCUAAUCUUUUUUUGGGAGGGGGGAACAUCACUAGAUAUUGUUAUUACAACAAUAGUUACCAUAUGUUCAGCACCUAAAUAUGUAUGCCAAGCACUUUGCUGGGCACUUAACAUACAUGUAUAACCUCAUUUAAAGCUUCAUAUUAAUUCCAAGUUAGAUAUGGCUUCCAUUUUACUUACAACAAGAACUGAAACUUAAAACAGAUAAAGUUACAUGCCCAAGGGCCCACAGCUAGUAAGAAGAAAACAAAGCCAUUGUAAUAUCAAGAUCUGUCUGACUCUAAAGACUGUUUUUAACCACUACAUAUACUACAAAUACUUCCAUUACGAGAGAGAUAAAUGAAGUUAGGGGUGGUCACAGAAUAGCAAAACUAAAUUAGGCAUUUACUCAGAUCACUUGGGGACCAUAUGGGAUUACUUCUGCAGUGCAUUAUUUGGCAGCUUUCCAAACGGUGUUCCACUGGAGGGUGAAGAUCACUUAUGCAUCUCUAGGGACUCUUUGCACAAAAAGGUAGUCUCCAGGUCAAAUUUAAUUUGUGUCUGCUCCGUCACUUCUACCUUGCGCCUCAGUAGUUUCUGACAUUUGGGAUUUAGAAUUGUGAAAAAGAAAUGAGGUUAGUUCCUAGACCUCAAAAAGCCUGCAAACCAAAACACAAUUUGCUUGAAAGAGUGACAUGCUCCAAGUAUCUGAAGGGCUUUAGCAAAAAGAAUAAUGUAGGAUAGGCUAUGUAGCUUGACAGAAAGCUUACAUAUUUGCUCAGGUUGGUUCCUACAGUUUCCAAAGGCAAAUCAGUGUACUUCCUUAAAUAUGAUCACCACCAAAUAAAAUGUCAACAUCAUAUGCCUGCAGUAGAAUGGGAAGAAAAGAAAUCGAUGUCAGGGUGUCAGCUGAAGAGCAGCUACUGAUAAUUUAACUGACUUCACAUGUGGUGGGACAGGCACUCUUUUUGGACUGCCCAUUCUAGCAUCUUUCCUCUUUAGGAAAACUUAUCAAGGACCCUAUCUGGCCCCAAAGACCUUACUUUGUAAAGGAAGUCUAUGCAACUCGUGGGCAAGAAUCCAAAACAUCAAUCCCUCAUGGUGAGGACAAGAAAAAAAAUGCCGGAUGAGUCCCCACAAGUGGGGCCACCAUACUGAGACAUAUGGAUGGGGGCAGGAGGCCCUGUGGCUCUUGGGGGCGUUGGAUGGGCCAAGAGGGGUCCUAUGCGUGGGUGCAGCCAACAGCUUUCCACAACCACCUGGGAACCAGCUGCAUCAUCCUCAUGAUGUCUCAUUCCACCGCAACUAGGCUGGCCAGGUAGCAACAGUGAUGCUUUUGCUUUGGACAGCCCUGUCUUUCUUUUCAGACUUGGGUUAGUCUUCCGAGUCAAAGACGUCAGUGCUCUGAUGCCCCACAGCUUAGGCUUUGGGGUCAACCCUCUUGUGCCUCGCUGGAUGAAAAUGAACUCAGAAUAGUUUCCCAGGUUAAUGGCAGAUGCCCCUGGUCAGCUGAUUUGGGGGAAUGUCAUUUGAUGACAGCACUGGAGAUGUAGAGUAUGGUAUGAACUAUAAUAGUGUGCAAUCUAUAUCAAGACAGAAUAUCAAAUAUAGAAACUGAAAGAAGGCAGAAUGCAGCAGCUCAUGCCUGUAAUUCCAGCAAAAGCAGAAGAAUCGCUCGAGGCCAGGAGUUCAAGACCAGCCUUAGUGAGACCUCAUCGCUACUAAAAAAUUAGCCGGGCGUGGUGGCAAGCACCUAUAGUCCCAGCUGUUCAGGAAGUGAGAAAGGAAGACAGCUUGAGCCCAGAAGUUAAGAGGUCACAGUGAGCUAUGAUUUAUGGAUUGUGCCACUGCACUCCACUCUAACCUGGGCAACAGAGCAAGACAGUCGAAAGAAAAAAGAAAAAGAAAAAAGAAAGAAACUGAAAGAAGCCUCUAAAAACUUCUUGCCUUCAGAGAUCUUGAGGAGAGACUGCUUUUUCAGAUGUUCAAUGGCAUGUACCACAUGAAAGUCAAGCUGCAGAGUUAAUGGGGAUUGUUGAACAGAGAGUUAAUGGGGAUUGCUUCUUUGUCUGAACAUUAUGACACUGUGGGAUGGCUAGAACCAUAAGUGCCGCAUAGGUCCGUAUAACAGUAGGGCUCUUGUGGACAGCCUACUUUAACAUACUCCUAUGCCAGACCUGCCACUAUUAUUGUGACCACAGAAGGAAACUUUUGGGGCUAAGAGUGAAUCAUUUUCUGAUCAAUCACAAAGAAAGCCAAAGUAGUGGGGAGAAAGACAGAGAAAGAAAGAAAGAAAGAAAGAAAGAAAGAAAGAAAGAAAGAAAGAAAGAAAGAAAGAAAGAAAGAAAGAAAGAAGGAAAGAAAGAAAGAGAAUUGCUCAUUAGUUCUUUGCCCUUUUCCAGACACCUGGAGAAGGAACUAUAAAAAAUGUGGGAUGUGCUGGAGAAGAAAACCUAUUGGUCUGGAGAAGGAAUUUUUCUUCAGGGUGAAAAUGCAGAGAAUUUCUACAUAUUGAGUCACAUGAAGGCAAAAUAUUGACUAAAAAGCUAGGCAGCAAGGAAGUAGGGAUUUUAAGGCAUUAUGAAGGAGACUGCAGAGUCUUCCCUACUUGGCAACAACCCAGGACACCAUCAGUCUAUUUGGCCAGAGAGACCAAAUGUUUAGUUAUAAAAUGUAGAGGGCCCUGAGACACUUCUUGUGCCUUGUGUUGAUAUUUUGUAGGGAGACAUAAAACAAUAUGAAGAGUUGGUAAAAUGGUUUUGCUCCAGAAUUAGCAAGGAAGUAUGAAGCAUUCAGGGAACUAAGCUUUUUAAAUGUCUGAAAAUAUGAUUAUAGCGCUACAGACUACAGAAAAUCUAGAAAAACACAUGAGAACUGAAGAUUUAAAUAUUUUUAUAUAGGCUCUGCAUUAUGCCCAUAUUUGUUUAUUUUUUUCCCCAAUUUUCAGUCUGUUACUUGGAACACUGCUCCUUAGUAGUAAUUAAACUGUUAAGUGGCAACUUUUUCAUGCUGGAUCUAUUCUGCCCACCCUACACCACUUUUUUUUUUUUUUUUUUUUUGAGACAGAGUUUCACUCAGUCACCAGGCUGGAGUGCAAUGGCGCAACCUCAGCUCACUGCAACCUCUGACUCCCUGGUUCAAGCAAUUCUCCUGCCUCAGCCUCCUGAGUAGCUGGGAUUACAGGCAUGCACCACCACGCCCAGCUAAUUUUUUUGUAUUUUUAGUAGAGAUGGGGUUUCACCAUGUUGGCCAGGAUGGUCUCGAUCUCCUGACCUUGGGAUCCACCCACCUUAGCCUCCCAAAGUGCUGGGAUUACAGGUGUGAGCCACCGUGCCCAGCCCACAACUUUUUUUAAAGCUGUGUUUCUUCUAGGAGCCUCUUCUCCACGCCAGGCAUAAGGAGGAGGUUUAUUUUAAUGACUUUCACCUUCCAGGUCUUUCCAGACAUAAAGCAACUAAUGUGUAAGUGCAUUAAUUGCCAAAUCUCACAAACCACACUACUAUGAUUCUUGUCUUGCAGCCUCUAACUAAAAUUGAACUAAGAAUGCAAGUUUUCCUAGCCUAUAUCUGGUCAUGGAAACCAGUUUAGUUCCUAUCCUGCAGCAAUGUUGAUAGCCAAUCAUUACUGCCCUUUCAAAUAACAAUAAAAACUAAGUUAAGCUAAAAUAAGUAUAUCUUCUUCCUCUUCCUCCUCUUUCUCUUCUUCCUCCUCCUCCUCCUCUUCUUCUCUUUCUUCUUUUUUUUGAGACAAGAGUCUCACUCUGUUGCCCAGGCUGAAGUGCAGUGGUGUAAUCAUGGCUCACUGCAGCCUUGACCUCCUCUUGCCUCAGGCAAGUAACUGGGACCACAGGCCUGUGCCACCAUGCCUGGCUAAUUUUUAAAUUUUUUGUAGAGGGGGGGCCUCAAUUUGUUGCCCAGGCAGGGGAAAUAAGAUAAUAUCUUAAGUUUUUAAAUGUUUUUAUGCAAAAUAUUUAAUUGUUAUUUUAGAGAUAAGAGAGUAUUUGUUGAUUCUUUCUAGUGUUGCUGAAAAAUGUUGAAAUGUGUACAAAAUGUCAACUGGGGCAUAUUUAAGGCAAGGUAUUAAGUAACAUGUUGUCUUUACUCUGAAUUCUUAUUACUGAUGUCUAAAGGCACUAAUUUCUCUAAAGUUGUAUCUCAAAUUAUCUAAAGUCAUUCCUCUGUUCCUGACUGGCAUUUUUAAACAUUAUACCUGAUAUGACAUAUUCUUUAACAUUGUAGCAUAAUUCCAUUGUUUGAGACAAAUUAUGUAAAUUUAUUGCUAAUUUAUUGGGAGGGUCCAUUGUACAUAUUGAAUGAAACGCAUUAUUUCCCUAUUUUUAAAAACUGGUUUAGUUAAUAUAACAGGACAAAAUAAAAUCAAAUCCUGUGGUACAAAUAACAUAAAAUAAAAAAUUUUCUAGCAUAGAUCAUAGGAUUAAAAAGGUAAAAGCAGAUAGAGCAGGAGAUAGUUAUGUCUAGUUUGAUCCUGCUGCCUCAUCACUCAUGAGCCACAUGGAGAGAACUUUUCGCCUGCAUUUGUAGGCUACCAGCUGUCUCUCCUUUCAACUACUACACUCAUCGCCUCUCCACCUUACCUCACAUUUACUCCCCCACUCAUUGGAACUUGGCUUUCAUUUCCACUGCUUCACUGAAAUCUCUUUGGCAAGGGUUACCAAAGAUCUCUACAUUGCUAAUUCAACUAGGACUUUUUCAUCCUUUCUGACUUCUGCGUUGCAUUUAACACUGUCAGUCACUCCUUGAAAUUCUUCCCUCUGUUAGCCUCGGUGACAGCAUUCUCUUUCUGUUCCUGCUUAUCCAGAUUCCUUCUUCCUCCUCUGCCCACCUUUUACACUUUGGUCUUUCAUUAUAUGUGGCUCUUGACUUACUGGUGUUCCUCUUCUACCUAUUCCCUUGGGAGUCCUGUCCCAUUGGCAAACAUGAUGGCAGAGUAUCUUCCUGUAUAGGGUAUGAGAGGUUGGGUGGAAGGGUCUGGCACAGAGUAGAUUCUCCAUAAAUACUUGUUGAAUGAAUCAAGGGGUUAUAUUAAAAUAUUUUCCCCGGAACAGAGGUGAUUAGAGAAUCUUAGGGUCUGUGGCAGGAAAGAAGGCAAUAUGGAAAAAAAACACUUGCUAAGUGCUUUCUUCAAAGCAACUUUAUCCCAUUGCAAGUUCCCAGAUUCCAGCUUUCCUUCACUUUCCCCUUCUUUGGGUAGUCAUCUGCCAUCAGAAUGACAAUGUAUCUACUUCUGGCAAAGAAUUUUCUUGGGUUUCUGUAGUUGGGAAAGUCACAUCAGGACUUUAUUGGUCCCUUCUUUUGUGUAACAACAAUAAUCAUAUGCACAUUUACCCACCAAACAGAAGCUAGCCCUUUAUGUAACCCCCAGUGUGUUUCUGGAAUGUGCUCCUAUGUGGAGUUUGCCUAGCACAGCUUAAAAAUUGCAAGAAGGAUGCAGAAUGUGCUGUGGAAUUGUUUGUGUGUAAAAUCGUUUGACCUCUCAUGAUGAGAGCUUCUUGAGAGCCUGAAGCCUUGUCAUUUCUGUGGAAAACAUUUAUCCUAGCCAAUGAAAACACACGGUGUUUGAGUUGAGCACUGUCAUUCUGAAGGAGUCACUGGAGAAGCACUAUUAAGGUAAAAUAUUACCCCCAAUCCGUUUCUCUAAUAAGGACAUUUGAAAGAUACACAAUACAUUCUUAUACCAACUUUAACCACUCUUCAAUCGCAGACAGUAGUCAAACAUAAGGUCACCAAAUUUUCCUAUCAUACAGUGGAUAGCGGAAUUUAAUUAAAUGGGGGCUUCUCUAGUUACCCAAUUAUGGGCUGAAAUUUAAUAUAGCACAAUUGCCUCUGCUUUUUACAUUUAUGAAAUAUGCAAUGCAGUUCUUACAGGGGCUCAUCAAUCCUGUCUCCUAGGAUAAACUGCAGUAUGUAUGCCACAGUGGCUCCAAAAUAGACCAUUUUAAAAGCAUUUACGUGAUAGUUUUUUCUCUGAAAAGCCACUUCUAAGAUAUGUGAAUGCUCUUCCUUAGAGAAGUUUCCUUUGGGAAGCUUCCUUCCAAAGCUUUCUUUGCUUAGGGGGUGUGAGUUUCUAAUUCCUUCUCGGAUCCCAGACAGAGCUGAGAUACUAUACAAGGUAACCUUUAAUUUGAGCCCCUCGUUCCCCCCAAAACUACCCCUACAUUCUUUCCUAAUGUGAAGAUUUCCAAUAACAGUGCAAAACUAGCAGUUAAUAAUAGGUCCCAACAUGUAAAUUACAGUGGUCACCAAAAAUAAAGCUUCAUGGGGGAAAAAUUUGCAAGUUACCACUGUGAGGUAGAUGCAGUAAAGAACAGUUUCCUCACACCAUGGAAAUCUGGAUGUCUUUGCACAAUUGGCAGACAAAUAUUCUGAACACAGUCCUUAGAAAUGAUUUUUUUCGUGUAAACCAAAUUAUGACUUUUCCCUACCUCGCCUCUCUGUCUCCUUCUCCUCAACAAACCUGACAAUUAAACACCCAAAGCUUGUUCCUAAGCCUAAGUCUUUCUUUACAUUUCUACAGAGCAAUUAAAAAAAAAAAAAGGCAAAGCUGUAAUCCGUUACCUUCUUAGCACUUUGUCUAAGGUGAUGACUGGGACCAUGUGUUAUUUGUGAAGUUUUCUUUCUUGCCAAGCAGCCCAUAAAUGGGCUUGAGAUCCUUAGAAUAAGAGUGCUUGUUAAGGAUUUCAAAAGAAGUGCUCCCAAGAAGCCCUCUUAAUUCAUACAUUCUGAAUAGCUUCCUCCCCCACUAAGAUUCUCUACUCUUUUUAUUAAUACAACCAAGGAACACUGGGCAGGUUUGUCCAAAGAAAUCCAUUUAGAAAUUCCAUGGAAUAGAAAGUGCACUUGUCUCUUUAAUUCGGGUCUUAAGGAAGGUUGAGUUGUCACCCUCACCAUGGGGGGGAUCAGUGAUCCGGCCUUGGAGGGCUUUGUAAUUUUUAUAGACCUCUUGCCUUCAUCUUUAUUUCAGAAUUAACCGCCUUCUUAUCUUAAGUCAUUUAGUUCAUGGACUGCUUACUCUUGGUGAAAUAUCUUUGUUGAGGGCUCUGAAGGUUUUCACUUCAGAGAACAGGACAGCUGAAUACCACAUUGUGCAUGGAGGUCAAAGGUCAGCACUGGAGAGAAAACCCAGCUAAUGCAUUGUGAAAGACCUUCGUUUUUAUGGGUGAGUUUUCCAUGCAUGUGAAAGUAAGCACAUCUCUCACCUAUUACAAAGCUUUGAACAAAAAAAGAACGAAAAGAAAAAGGAAUCUUAAUUCUUAAACAAUAACUGGAUGAAGUAAAGAUCUUAUUCCAGAGAAACAAACCAUACACAGGUGUUCAGGCAAGGUAAAAAGCCACUCACGACAUGCCCCAGGCAUGACAUCCUGCCCACUUACAGAUGAAGAAUGAAUGGAGGAAAGAAUAACAGGGAACUGAAAGGAUUUAAACUUCUCAAACCUUAACCUGUAAAUGCCAGCUUUACCAAACAUUUUUGAAAGGCAGAUGUUCUACUCAGUUUUUACAGAAUCAGGUAUUGAAGUAUCUAUAGUGCUUUGCAAAUAUUAAUACCUGACAAUUUUCAUAACCGGUUAUUGCUUUCAACACCCCAUGAGAUUGGAUUGCCAUAUUUCUGUAGCAAAUCCUUACUGAUGCACUUUCCAUUCAGACAAAAUUCCAUUCUCUCUAAACUGUCUCAUACCCAUUAUGUGCCUCUCAACUGCCAGUGAACUUCAUUCUUCUUCAAAGGGGGGAAACUAAGGCUGGAAGAUUUGCCCUCAGCCGUGGAACAAAUCAGUGACAAAGUCAGCAUUAGAUUUUUAGGUGCUUUAUCUCUUCAGUGCUAAAAAUGUGCUCCAACCUGGGCUGGAUAUCAAACAUAUACUUAGCAGGACAUCAAUCCUUUUCCUGGCUUCUCUGACAUGUUCUUUUACACAUGCUUUCGUCAAGAUGCCUCUUGCCACAUCACCUCCUCCAGGUUGAGAGGCAGAACAGUUUUUGUUAUCUAAAGAUACAUAUCUUAGAGAAAAAUAACAAUUUUGAGAACACAGGAAAUGACUGGCUAGGAAAUUACUUUUGGUAUUAACAUGCUUUUCUUGGGCAACUAUGAGUGAAAUUCCUGUUCUGAGGCUUUAUGAUCAGUCUAGGACUUUUGGCAUAAUCCUUAAAGAAGUCAAGAGAAGGAAGACUGAAAUUAAAAGAAGAGAAAGUUAAUCAAAAUCAAACUGGUUUUGUUUCUAGAGGAGAUGCCUUCAGGCAAUAGACAGAAAUAAAAACAUCCUGCUCUUUCUUCCAUCCUGUUCUGAUACAGGGUAGAUCCAGACCACUUCUCAAUUUAGAAAAGGGGUCCUCACAACUUCACCCCACCCUCCAGGCCUCCUCCGAUCUCAGAAAGGCAGGCAGGCCAAAAAUUCCUGCCUGCCUUUCUGAGAUUGGGAGGUGACAGCCCCUCUGGGCAUCAACCAAGUGGUAGGUGUGAGUAAAUAUAAAUUUCAUCAAUUAUUACUCCAAAGAGUUGAAAAUGAGUAAAUACAAGCUAUGACUUGAGCACUAAAAAUAUGUCCUCUGUCUGACUUGGGGAGAGCUUAUUUAGAUCUCAUAUAGAUUUGGAGAAAGAAAGACAUGGAAAAGACCUAAUCUGGUGGCUUGCAAGCCCUUUUUUAAGAAGAGCAAUCGUUUUUACUAACAUUUUAACCAGAAGUCCUCAAUGUAUGAAACAGGUAAACACAGGGCUGCUCUGUUUGAAAGGGAGGCAGAGUCACCAAGUCCACCUGCCCCUCUUCCUCCCCUCCCCACCCUGACUUGGUCAACUCUCAUACCAUGAACAGUUUACCUCAGUCAUUUCUCCCCUAUCACUGAUGCACCAAGUCAUCCACGCAAAUGGGUGUUUUUCUGCUUUGGGAGACUUCCAGGGAAGGGUUUUUCAUACCUUCCUUAGGCACUCAUUACAUGUAAAAUCCUUGCAGCGGUAGGUCUUUGUUAUAAAAAAUUACACAGAAAGUUGCCAGUGAACCUCAGUGUCAUUCAAAGUACUAGGACCAAUAGAAUUUUUCCUGAUACACUUCUGCUUUUCCAACUUGAGUCUUCACACCCAUACCUACAGUGCAUUAUCAAGUCUAAUGUCAGUUUCUUUAAGGUGGAGCAAAAUUUUAACAACAUAAAGCAAUCUGAAAGCAAAAUCCUCUAGAGUUUUAUAAUCUCCUCUAACCUUUCAAGUCCUACAUAUAACUCAGCAACAUGCCUUUUCUUUCUUUUCUUUUUUCUUUUCAUUUUGGAGAGAGAAUUGCUCUGUUGCUCAGCUGGAGUGCAGUGGCGUGAACAUGGCUCAAUGCAGCAGCCUCGACGUCCUAGGCUCAAGUGAUCCUCCAACCUCAGCCUCCUGAGUAGCCAGGACCACAGGACACUUCAGAGCCAAAGAGGAAACGAAUCCCAUCUGUUCUGAGCCCCCAAGCACAGUUCAAGAGGACAGGCUGGGGAGUGGAGGAAGGGGCGGUGAAGAGAAAAAUAAGAAGACUGGAACAUCCAGCCACACACGGAGGGCAGGAAGCCACCUGAUGAGAGAGCCAGGGUGUGGCAGAAGUCGCCAAGGAAUCCUUCUGUUCCCGACACACGCCUACAGCACUCGCUCAAGAUGGAGCCUGCUGACUCUGUCUAAGGCCCUGUGGCCCUUGGCAUAGGUUUCAGGACAGCAGUCCUGUCAGGGCUGUGGACCUCACACCUCUAUGUAAUGUGAAGGGCACCCUCUGGAGUUGUGGGACUUGGCAGUAGUGUUACUGCACUGGCCUGCAAGUCCCCAUCCAUUACUGCCACCCAGCUCAGACACAGCUCACCCAUUCACAUACACAAAAAUGGACACAUUGAGAGGGAAACCCACAUUAAAGUAGGGAGAAGAUGGAGGGCCCUCUGACCUCCUCCCAUCAGGCACGUGUGCCUCCUCUACUCAGUGCCUGCAUCCACCUCUGUAUGGGUACCCAUCCUCUAUUCCCCUCCCACUCCAAUGGAUGCCAGGGAUGGAAGGACAGAUGGCUGUGAAACUUAUCUUCUUAUUUAGAUUAAAUUCCAGACUUUCCUAUUUUUAGAAAAACAAAUUCCUUUUGUAUUUCCAAGUGGUAAAAAUGGCCCGAGCUGUCAUCUAGGACAGUCAGCAGCCAACUCAAAGUUGUCUGCAGUGUCAUGAUUUGGAUAUUACCCUGGCGAGACUACUUCUAGUGUCAAGCGGGUGAUCAGUCUAGGUGCCAAAUUUUAAGAGGGUCAUUGACGUCCUGAGAGCUUCCAGAGGAGGGUGACCAGGACAAUGAAAGGUUCGAAAAACUGGGUCAUUGAAAAAAGUACUGAAAUAAGCUAGGGACUUUUUCUUUUUCUUUUUGGUCUAGAGAAUAUUUGAGCUAUAUUAAGAACAUGUUGAAAUAUUUGGAUGAAGAGUUACACCCUUAUUCUAUUUUUCCCAGAUGACAGAAUUUGAAUCAAUAGGUAGAAGUUACAGCGAAACAGAUUUCAGUUGAAUAUUUAGAAACUUUCUUAUAACUUAAUUCUGUAUGAUAUGGAAUAAGCUUCCCAUCACUGUGCCUAUGCAAGCCAAGGAUGAAAGACUGUCUGUCAGGGAUACUGUAGAUAAGAUUAUUGUACUAGAUAGGAACAUGGACUAGUCUAAAAUUACUGAGAAGCUUUAGAAAAAUGUGGCUUUCUGGGUAGCAGAGAUUCUGCAUUGGUAAGUCUGAGGCUUAGAAUUUGUAUUUCCAAAAAACCCCAUCAGCUAUAAAACUCUCAGAAGAAAACGUAGGGGAAAAGCUGCAUGGCGUUAGAUUUUGCAGUGAUUUCUUAGAUAUGACACUCAAAGCAUAGCCAACAAAAGAAAAAAACAGAUAAAAUGGAUUUCAUCUAAAUAAAAAGCUUUUGUGCAUCAAAGGAUACAUCUACAGAAUGAAAAGGAAACCCAAUACACAGAAUGAAAGAAAAUAUCUCCAAAUCAUACAUGUGAUAAAAGGUUCAUAUCUAGCAUAUAUAAAGAACUCUUAACACUCAAAAAGAAAUUAAACAACACAAUUUAAAAAUGGGCAAAGGACUUGAAUAGAUAUCUCUCCAAAGAAGAUGUACAAAUAGCUAAUAAGUACAUAAAGCUGCUCCAUAUUACUAAUCACUACAGAAAUCAAAACCACAAUGAGAUAACCACUUCGCCUCCAUCAGGAUGGGUUUUUUCUUUUUUUGAGUUGGAGUCUCGCUCUGUCGCCCAGGCUGGAGUGCAGUGGUGCAAUCUCGACUCUCUGCAACCUCCGCCUCCUGGGUUAAAGCAAUUCUCCUGUGUCAGCCUCCCGAAUAGCUGGUAUUACAGGCACGCACCACCACGCCAGCUAGUUUUUGUAGUUUUGGUAGAGAUGGGGUUUCACCCCACACCAGUUGGCCGGACUGGUCUCCAACUCCUGACCUCAAGUGAUCUACCCAACCCAGCCUCCCAAAGUGCUGGGAUUACAGGUGUGAGCCACCGCGCCUGGCCAGGAUGGCUACUAUAAAUACAAACAAAACAGAAAAUAGUAAAUGUUGGGGAGAAUUCGGAGAAAUUAGAACCCUCAUUCAUUGCUGGUAGAAAUAUCAAAUGGUGCAGCCAUUGUGGAAAACGGUAUGGUGGUUCCUCAAAACAAACAAACAAACAAACAAACAAAAAACACAUAGAAUUACCAUAUGAUACAGCAAUUCCAUUUCCAGGUAUAUACCCAAAAAGAACCGAAAGCAGGGACUUGAAUAAUAUUUGGACACUAAUUUUCAGAGCAACAUUCUUCACAAUAGCCAAAAGGUGGUAACAACCCAUGAACAGAUGAAUGGGUAAACAAAAUGUGGCGUAUACCUACAACAGAAUAGAGUUCAACCUGAAAAAAGAAUGAAAUUCUAACGCUACAACAUAAAUGCUCCCUGAUGACAUUAUGCUAAGUAAAUAAGCCAGUCAUUAAACAACAACAACAACAAAGACUGUAUGAUUCCACUUAUAUGGGUUACCUAGAGUAGUCAAAUUCAUAGAGACGAAAAGUAGAAUGGUGGCUCCCAGGAGCUGAAGGGAGGAGGAAAGGGUAGCUACUGUUUAAUGGGUACAGUUUCUCUUUGGGGAGAAGACAGAAUUCUGGAGAUGGACGUGAUGAUGGUUACACAGCAGUGUGAAUGUACUGAAUGCCACUAAACUGUACACUUUAAAAUGGUUAACAUAAAAUGGUAAAUUUUAUGUUAUAUAUAUAUAACCACAAUUUUUAAAAAUAAAUCCUUUUUAAAAAACA